rnacentral:rRNA from 1 species
GCAGCAGGCGCGAAAACUUUGCAAUACACGAAAGUGUGACAGGGCUAUCCCGAGUGCCAUCCGCUGAGGAAGGCUUUUACCCAGUCUAGAACGCUGGGGGAAUAAGGAGAGGGCAAGUCUGGUGUCAGCCGCCGCGGUAAUACCAGCUCUCCGAGUGGUGUGGAUGUUUAUUGGGCCUAAAGCAUCCGUAGCUGGCUGAGUUAGUCCCUUGUUAAAUCCACCGAAUUAAUCGUUGGAUUGCGGGGAAUACUGCUCGGCUAGGGGACGAGAGAGGCAGACGGUAUUUCUGGGGUAGGGGUGAAAUCCUAUAAUCCCAGGAGGACCACCAGUGGCGAAGGCUGUCUGCUAGAACGCGCCCGACGGUAAGGGAUGAAAGCUGGGGGAGCGAACCGGAUUAGAUACCCGGGUAGUCCCAGCUGUAAACGAUGCAGACUAGGUGUUUGGACGGCCACGUGCCGUUCUAGUGCCGCAGGGAAGCUGUUAAGUCUGCCGCCUGGGGAGUACGAUCGCAAGAUUGAAACUUAAAGGAAUUGGCGGGGGAGCACCACAAGGGGUGAAGCUUGCGGUUUAAUUGGACUCAACGCCGGGAA